UUGGAGGGCAAGUCUGGUGCCAGCAGCCGCGGUAAUUCCAGCUCCAAUAGCGUAUAUUAAAGUUGUUGCAGUUAAAAAGCUCGUAGUUGAAUUUCGGGAUCAGAGUGUCGGUCGUGCCUCGGUACGCACUGGUAUUAUUGGUUCCUACCUUCUGAAGAACCGCGAUGUCAUUAAUUUGGUGUCGUGGGGAAUCAGGACUGUUACUUUGAAAAAAUUAGAGUGUUUAAAGCAGGCUUACGCUUGAAUACAUUAGCAUGGAAUAAUGAAAUAGGACGUUUGAUUCUAUUUUGUUGGUUUCUAGGAUUGACGUAAUGAUUAAUAGGGAUAGUUGGGGGCAUUAGUAUUCAAUUGUCAGAGGUGAAAUUCUUGGAUUUAUUGAAGACUAACUACUGCGAAAGCAUUUGCCAAGGAUGUUUUCAUUAAUCAAGAACGAAAGUUAGGGGAUCGAAGACGAUCAGAUACCGUCGUAGUCUUAACCAUAAACUAUGCCGACUGGGGAUCGGAUGAUGUUAAUUUUUUAAUGACUCAUUCGGCGCCUUACGGGAAAC
rnacentral:rRNA from 1 species